AUGAACGCUGGCGGCGUGCCUAAUACAUGCAAGUCGAGCGAACAGACGAGGAGCUUGCUCCUCUGACGUUAGCGGCGGACGGGUGAGUAACACGUGGAUAACCUACCUAUAAGACUGGGAUAACUUCGGGAAACCGGAGCUAAUACCGGAUAAUAUAUUGAACCGCAUGGUUCAAUAGUGAAAGACGGUUUUGCUGUCACUUAUAGAUGGAUCCGCGCCGCAUUAGCUAGUUGGUAAGGUAACGGCUUACCAAGGCAACGAUGCGUAGCCGACCUGAGAGGGUGAUCGGCCACACUGGAACUGAGACACGGUCCAGACUCCUACGGGAGGCAGCAGUAGGGAAUCUUCCGCAAUGGGCGAAAGCUUGACGGAGCAACGCCGCGUGAGUGAUGAAGGUCUUCGGAUCGUAAAACUCUGUUAUUAGGGAAGAACAAAUGUGUAAGUAACUAUGCACGUCUUGACGGUACCUAAUCAGAAAGCCGCGGCUAACUACG
rnacentral:rRNA from 1 species